CUGUUUUACAAGCGUAGACUCUUUUUGUCGUUUAACUCUUCGUGAAUUCCUCAACUCAAGUAGCCUAGACAGGUGCAGGUGUUUGAGGAGCAUAACUGUCGAUUAUUCCAAACUAAUGACAAUAUGAUUAGCUUACUGGAAAGGCUACUAGAAAUCCCUACUAGAAAAUGCAACUGGUCUUUGACCAGAAACAAUCCAACCAAUGUCAAACUGCUUUUUGUAACAUAGCAUCUGGUCAGCCAGCUAAUGCCAACCUUGCACCAUGUUCAAACAUCGCUAGCAUCUUGGAGUCUCCAACAGCGUGAGAUCGGAUAAACAGACGAGAAAGAUACGGCAUGCCCAUAUGAUCUAAUCUAAUCUGAUUCUAAAUCAAGAAGCUUCACUACUUCCUUAGACAAAGCGGCAGUCCUCAUUUCCAGACUUUGAUCCAUCUGGUGUGGAGGGGGAAAGAGAGGUGAAGUGCCCUUUGACCUUUUGAAGGAGAAGGGAGCAGUUCCAUAUCUCAUGCUCCACAGCCGAGCCUGUUUGAUCUGGACUCACCUCAGUUCACACGUCUCAGCUUCUGGCCCCAACCCGCAAAAGGAGGAAUGUGUAGAGCUGGUAGAGAAUAAUUGUUUUGUUGGGCAUGAAGACAUACUAGACUUGAAAACAUACCUGAGACGAGUGAGGUCACCAGGAAUACUAUGACAUG